GCCGUACCCGAGCCGGUGGCCACGACUGCGCUUCGGCGUCCGCGGCGGGUGUGCUGGUUGGUGCUGGAUGAGAGGAGCUGUACGCGACUGGGCGCGCGGGCUUCGCGGGGCCUGCCCGAGAUACCCUCCUGCACACGUUACGCGCCACAGCCGCUGGGACAUCUUGGCCUAUCUGGUUGACACCUGGGACCUGGACAUCGAGGCCGUCAACCAGGACUACAAGCGGGCUCUCUCUGCACGAGGCUGCUUCCAUGGGACAUCCGGACUGCGUGCUGUACCUGCUGGCCCGGGGGGGCCGCCGGAAACAACCUGACCAAGCCCACCUGUCAAUGACUGCAGGAAAGAAAUUAACACAUUCCCUUCAGAGGCUGAUGUGAACCAGGAAAGAGGCCUUGCUUCCGGCUCUUCAAACCCCAGUUCCUGGUGUGAACCAGCUUGGACGAUGCUCCUGCUUGGGGUGGGGGGCUGUGUGCAGAGAUGCUGCACUGGACACCUUAAUGCAAGAUGGCAAUGAGCCCUGUGAGCCCCAUUACCUGGAGCAGCUGUGCCUGUCUCUGCUCCCCAGAACCCCGCCAACUCUACCUAAUCCCCCGCUGAUGAGAGCCCUAUGGAGCAGCCCCACCCAUGGCCUAUUGGAGAGCGUGGACUGUACAGUGGGUGCUCCACUUCUCAUUUCCUUUGCUUCUCAACACAACUCACUCCAUUGGCGGAGAAACAUUGGGCAGAAGGACCCUUUUGGGGUGGGUACCAGCUUUACUUACAUAUCAAAGGCCAGAGUAAGGAGGAGAUCCUUCCCAGGAGAGGAGAAAGCCCUUCUCAAGCAGCAGAGACAAAGUUUCCUACCGUCCUGCACCUGCUGGUGUGGAACAACUGAUCUGCUCUCAACACACGGCCCCAGGUGCGGUCCUGAGCGAGGGGGCAACACCUGUAUGUUUACCGUGAGAUAUUUAAUAAGGACUAUGUCUCUGAUUGCAAUAACCUGUCCGUGCCUUCAGGAUAAAAGGAACGAAUACUGAGAGCCCAGCCAAAAGCAAGAGUGUCUCAAAGAGGUGAGUGACAGUGAACGCCAAGAGGAAGGAGAAAUUCAGACACACAAGGACUGGAAAGGUAUGGCUUUGAUUCAGUGACGCGGAAAUCAUCAGUGACUUGGGAGCAGUUUUGAGGGAAAGAGAGGGAAGACAGUCUAGAGUUGCUAGAGAUACAGGCAAACCUUUCAAGAAGUUUGUUCUGGGACCUAAGAUUGUCUGGUACAAGUGAGAGGGGAAGACCAGGGUGAGAAAUUUAUAGAAAGGAGAUUUGAAAUCAUCAGAAGAUACAAAUUAAAUAAAAGUAGCAGGAUCACUCGGAGAAGGCAAUGGCAACCGACUCCAGUACUCUUGCCUGGAAAAUCUCAUGGAUGGAGGUGCCUGGUAGGCUUCAGUCCAUGGGGUCGCUAAGAGUCGGACACAACUAAGCGACUUCACUUUCACUUUUCACGUUCAUGCAUUGGAGAAGGAAAUGGCAACCCACUCCAGUGUUCUUGCCUGGAGAAUCCCAGGGACGGGGAAGCCUGGUGGGCUGCCGUCUAUGGGGUCGCACAGAGUCGGACACGACUGAAGCGACUUAGCAGCAGGAUCCCUGGGCAGUGCAGCACGGAGACCCUUGGAGAGGGUAACAGGGGAGAAGGAUCAUCAGUCUCAUAUGAAACUGGAGUUCUCCCAAGUCAGAUAUCUGAGAGGACAGAAAGACAAGGGGAUCAAGGAUUAAGUGAGCAUUAUUAACAUGUCAGCUCUUGGAAUUGUUGGGGAGGGAAAAACUUUCUCCACCCUCUGAGGUUCAGCUAUUGGGAGUCUGCCAGUUAAAUUGACAAAAGCAGAUAACCAUGAGAAAAAACAUUUACAUAGCUUUCCAGGAAUGAUGUACACAUGUGAGAGUUGGACCAUAAACAAGGCUGAGUGCUAAAGAAUUGGUGCUUUCAAACUGUGGUGCUGGAGAAGACUCUUGAGAGUCCCUUGGACUGCAAGGAGAACGAACCAGUCAAUCCUAAAAGAAAUCAACCCUGAAUAUUCAUUGGAAGGACUGAUGCUGAAGCUCCAAAUUUUGGCCACUUAAUGGGAAGAGCUGACUUACAGGAAAAGGCCCUGAUGCUGCGAAAGAUUGCGGCCAGAGGAGAAGGGGGCGACAGAGGAUGAGAUAGUUAUAUGGCAUCUUCGACUAAAUGGACAGUGAGUUUGAGCAAACUCCGGGAGAUGGUGAAGGACAGGAAAGCCUGGCAUGUUGCAGUCCAUGGGGUUGCAAAGAGAUGGACAUGACUGAGCAACGGAACUAUAACAACAACAUGCAGAGGUUCACAAAGAAAUGUGACUUGAAGGGAGUUGAUAUACAACUGGGAGUUGAUAUACUACUUAAUAAAUGACAGGGAACAAAGGAAACUAUAAGUAAGGUGAAAAGACAGCCCUCAGAUUGGGAGAAAAUAAUAGCAAAUGAAGCAACAGACAAAGGAUUAAUCUCAAAAAUAUACAAGCAACUCCUGAAGCUCAAUUCCAGAAAAAUAAAUGACCCAAUCAAAAAAUGGGCCAAAGAACUAAACAGACAUUUCUCCCAAGAAGACAUACAGACGGCUAACAAACACAUGAAAAGAUGCUCAGCAUCACUCAUUAUCAGAGAAAUGCAAAUCAAAACCACAAUGAGGUACCAUUACACUCCAGUCAGGAUGGCUGCUAUCCAAAAGGUCUACAAGCAAUAAAUGCUGGAGAGGGUGUGGAGAAAAGGGAACCCUCUUACACUGUUGGUGGGAAUGCAAACUAGUACAGCCACUAUGGAGAACAGUGUGGAGAUUUCUUAAAAAACUGGAAAUAGCACUGCCGUAUGACCCAGCAAUCCCACUUCUGGGCAUACACACUGAGGAAACCAGCUCUGAAAGAGACACGUGCACCCCAGUGUUUAUCGCAGCACUGUUUAUAAUAGCCAGGACGUGGAAGCAACCUAGAUGCCCAUCAGCAGACGAAUGGAUAAGGAAGCUGUGGUACAUAUACACCAUGGAAUAUUACUCGGCCGUUAAAAAGAAUUCAUUUGAAUCAGUUCUAAUGAGAUGGAUGAAACUGGAGCCCAUUAUACAGAGUGAAGUAAGCCAGAAAGAUAAAGAUCAUUACAGCAUACUAAGACAUAUGUAUGGAAUUUAGAAAGAUGGUAAUCUUAACCCUAUAUGCAAAACCGAAAAAGAGACACAGAUGUACAGAACAGACUUUUGGACUCUGUGGGAGAAGGCGAGGGUGGGAUGUUUCAAGAGAACAGCAUGAAUAUUAUCUAUGGUGAAACAGAUCACCAGCCCAGGUGGGAUGCACGAGACAAGUGCUCGGGCCUGGUGCACUGGGAAGACCCAGAGGAAUUGGGUGGAGUGGGAGGCGGGAGGGGGGAUCAGGAUGGGGAAUACAUGUAACUCCAUGGCUGAUUCACGUCAAUGUAUGACAAAACCCACUGCAAUGUUGUGAAGUAAUUAGCCUCCAACUAAUAAAAAUAAAUGAAAAAAAAAAUGACAGGGAGUAGGACAAAAAGGCAUCUUCUGAAAAACAGGUGACUUGGGGAAGGAGGGGCACUUAUAACAAAAAACAUUUAAGAAAUAUAAAUGGUACUUUAGGAUAUAUGGGAGAUAGGGGAAUUUUGUGAAAAUGUCUGUCUGGCGCUUGGAACUUUUCUCUCAUUUUAACACUGUUUCCAAAAGUAAAUUAAAGUCAAUUAAAACCAA